UACGUAGGGUGCAAGCGUUAAUCGGAAUUACUGGGCGUAAAGCGUGCGCAGGCGGUUUUGUAAGCCAGAUGUGAAAGCCCCGGGCUUAACCGGGGAGGGUCGUUGGGGACGGCGGGGCUUGAGGGCGGGAGAGGGCGGUGGAAUUCCUAGUGUAGAGGUGAAAUUCGUAGAUAUCGGGAGGAACACCGGUGGCGAAGGCGGCGAUCUGGGUAGAUACUGACGCUGAGGUGCGAAAGCGUGGGGAGCAAACAGG
rnacentral:rRNA from 1 species